CAGGCAAGCUGUCAAUAGAGGUAACUAAACUAUUAACAGCCACUUAUUCAGGUUGGUUUCAAAGGCAGGCCUUAUAGAGCUCAAUUUAUAUACACCGAUCACCCAUAACAUUAUGACCACCUGCCUAAUAUUGAGUUGUUCCCCCUUUUUCCGCCAAAACAGCCCUGACCCGUCGAGGAAUAGACUCCACUAGACCUCGGAAGGUGUGCUGUGGUAUGUGGCACCAAGACAUUAGCAGCAGAUCCUUUGAGUCCUGUAAGCUGCAAGGGCGCAUUAUCCUGCUGAAAGAGGCCAAUGCCAUCAGGGAAUACCAUUGCCAUGAAAGGGUGUACAUGGUCUGCAACAAUGCUCAGGUAAGUGUUACGUGUGAAAGUAACAUCCACAUGAAUGGCAGGACCCAAGGUUUCCCAGCAGAACAUUGCCCAAAGCAUCACACUGCCUCCGCUGGCUUGCGUUCUUCCCAUAGUGCAUCCUAGUGCCAUGUGUUCUCCAGGUAAGCGACGCCAUGCACUUGAUGUAAAAGAAAAUAUGAUUCAUCAGACCAGGCCACCUUUUCCAUUGCUCUGUGGUCCAGUUCUGAUGCUCACUUGCCCAUUGUAGGCGCUUUCGGGCAAUGGACAGGGGUCAGCAUGGGUACCCUGACUGGUCUGCGGCUACACAACCCCAUACACAACAAACUUCAAUGCACUGUGUGUUCUGACACCGUUCUAUCAGUACUUAACUUUUUCAGCAAUUUGAGCUACAGUAGCUCAUCUGUUGGAUCGGACCACAUGGGCCAGCCUUCGAUCCCUGCGUGCAUAUAUGAGCCUUGGCAGGCCAAGACCCUGUCGCCGGUUCACAGCUUUUCCUUCCUUGGACCACUUUUGAUAGGUACUGACCACUGCAGCCUGGGAACACCCCACAAGGGCUGCAGUUUUGGAGAUGCUCUGAUCCAGUCAUCUAGCCAUCACAAUUCGGCCCUUGUCAAAGUCACUCAGAUCCUUAAGCUUGCCCAUUUUUCCUGCUUCUAACAACCAACUUUGAGGACAGAAUCUCUACUUGCUGCAUAAUAUAUCCCACCCACUGACUGCUGCCAUGAUAAAGAGAUCAUCAGUGUUAUUCACUUCACCUGUCAGUGGUCAUAAUAUUAUGGUUGAUCAGUGUAUAAUAAUCUGUCAAUCCAUUUGAAAGACAUAGACUAAAAUCUACAUUUUUCCUGAAGACUAAUUCCUUUAGUAUGUCCUUUUGAGUAUAAGCUGGUCCAGGAGUGUGAAGGUAAACAACAAGGCUCUGGAUUGAUGAACCACCCAUGCUGUCUCUGCCCUCUCUCCACUGGGAUUUUCUGCCACUCCUUGUGAGUCCACCCAAUUCACUUCAGGAGGAUCCCUUGGACCAUGUCUCAGGACCUAGUGGUCCCUUUUUAUUUGACCCAUAAACACUUGUUAAUGAAAAUCUAACUUGCAUUAUUCCAAAGGAGCAGACCUCCUUCAUUCUCUUACAAGCUCCCCACUCGGAGCCUGUCUCCUCUAAGUUUCUUUCUACUGUAUUUCCUGCCUUUCUAGAGAGGUUUUUUUUAGCUACUGUACUUCAACAUCUUCAUUCCUAGCUUUUUGGGUUUUAGGCUGGGUAUAAGUAUAAGUACUUUGUGACAAGUGCUGAUGUCUUUUCAAAAUACAUUUGAUUGAUUUGUUGACAAAAAAAUAUAUUUAUUUUGAUGUGCUCUAAGCCUACACUGUAAUUGAGUUCAUAGCUACUGAUGUUGUAC
ensembl:lncRNA